rnacentral:misc_RNA from 1 species
CUGAGAUAUCAAAAUGGGGGUCAAUUAUAUGGCUUUCGAUUUUGACACUAUGGAUCGCAGUCUUGUCAGAAUACCUGGUUAAUGCCAUAGAGGGGGCAUCAGUUGCUAUGAGUAUUCCUGUGGCAUUUAUAAGUGUCAUACUGCUACCGAUUGUUGGAAAUGCAGCUGAACAUGCUGGUGCUGUCAUGUUUGCAGUCAAAGACAAGCUUGACAUCUCUUUGGGAGUAGCAAUAGGCUCAUCAACGCAGAUUGCCAUGUUUGGGAUCCCCUUCUGCGUGGUGGUUGGAUGGAUUAUGGGUCGUCCUAUGGAUUUGAAUUUUCAGUUAUUUGAAACAGCCACGCUUUUCAUGAGUGUCCUUGUUGUAGCAUUCAUGCUGCAGGAUGGAACUUCCAAUUACUUCAAAGGACUUAUGCUCCUUCUUUGCUAUUUGAUAGUUGCUGCAAGCUUCUUUGUGCAUAUAGAUCCAGAGGCUAUACAGGACAAGCCCAAAAAAACAUAAUAGGUGGUUUCAGAUCAUGUAGACCUGCUAAAGCUGAAGGUCCAUAAUACAAAUUAGAGUUGCAUAUAUAUAAAAAAAGAGCCAUUUCUUCAAGUUUUGGCCACUCUGAGCUGUAUAUAUUAACAACAAUUCAACUGUUGAUGAUGCUCAGAGUUCUGUAUUACUAGCAUCUGUGUUCAGUUGAAAAGUAUAUGUUGUUCUCUUAGUAUUGUGUGGCAGCUGCUGAUUUUUUUUUCUCCUCGAAAAUGGCUGG